rnacentral:lncRNA from 7 species
ACAUAUUGCAUCUGCCUCCAUCAUAUGAAGAGCUACCACCUGAUUUUUAUGAUUUUUAAGAAAUGAGCCUCCUUCUUGUAUUUUGUCCAGCAAAUUCCUAAAAUACUGGGCUUCUGUGAGCUGCUUUUCUUCCUCAUCUCUGUGCAGACCUGUCCUCAGGUCAGAAAGCUCUUGAAGUAUUGCCAAGAUAACAUACUCCUUUUGCACGGACCAGAGAUUGCUUAGUAGUGACCUCUCUGCCCAUUUAAAGGCUGAACUGAAAAAAGACCACGCACCUCUAGGGAGUUCUGCUUUGUCCUGCCUAGCUGCCUACUGAGAAAGACCAUGCAGAUGGAUAAGAGAAAUGCCAAGAGUACCAUGUUCAUUUGGUGUAAUUGCAGCACUGCUGGGUACUACAAGGAAGAGGAGAGCAGGGAGGUUUGCCCUUUUGCACAACAGUAGGCGGUAGAGAGAUAGACUGAGAAGAGUAUUGCACUGGGAAUGACUGCAAGCAAACACUUCAAGCUCAUAGGGGGUUCUUAAUAACUGAUGAUAUUCUGCUGAAGUCUCAUUCUUCGUAUGCGAGCUGCCUGCCGUCCCCCUCAAACACUGAAACAACAAGGGGCCACAUUACUCAGUACACUUCUUCAGGCGAUAAUGCAAUUGCUUCUAUUAAAGCAGAAAGGCCAGAUGUCUUAAAGUUUGGGUGGAAUUAGGCUCCUCACAGCAUCUGAUGUUCCACCAUAGGUCUCUCCCCAUCUUCUAGCCCUGAAGUUGAGCAGUGUGGUCCUCUGAGCCCCACCUCCAGUGGAUAAAGCACAAAUUAAUUUUAUUUGUUCCAGGUUUUAAAUGUAUGUACUUAUGUAAAGCAAAAACUCUUUAACUCAACAAGGCUCCUGAGCUGAACUUUUAAGUCUCAGGCAGAGAAAACCCUUCAUGAAGAAAACAUUGGCAAAAACACAUAGGGCCUGACCUGUUCAGCAGAGGCUUGCAGGUCUUUGGCUCCACACCUCUGCAUACAGCCAAGCACACCAAACUGCUGAUACAGACCUCCAUAACUACCCCUUCAUUCCUGUUGGCAGGUUUGGGGAAUAUCACUUGCAGAAAAAGGCAGAUGUAAAACAGAUAACUAAAGGUACCACAGAACUGCAUGGCAUAUACAAAUUAUUUCAAAUCCAUUUCCAUUUAUUUCAGUAUGAUUGGCUUAAAGUUGUGAUUUAGAAGCUGUUGUAAUUCUC